rnacentral:lncRNA from 1 species
UUCCAGUUGUAGUCCCGAACGACAAAACUGAAAGUAAAACUCCAAGCAUUACAAACAAUAAUGCUGCUCACUUUUCAGAAGUUGAGGAAAACCCUGAAGAACCUGCAGUAAAAGAAAAAACUGAAAAACCAGUUCUUGAAGAGAAACCUGAAGAACCAACAGUUGAAGAGAAAUCUGAAGAACCAGUUGAGGAGAAACCUGAAGAACCAACAGCUGAAGAGAAACCUGAAGAACCAGCAACUAAAGAAAAACAAGUGCUAGUAGGGGAGGAAACAGCUGAAGAACUAGCGCUUGAAGAGAAACCUGAAGAACUAACGAUUGAACAGACAGAUGAAGAACUAGUUGUUGAAGAUAAAACUGAAAAACCACCAAAUAAAGAGGAGAGACCUGAAACGGUAACUCUCCUUUAGCAGUGUCACAGAGUUUAUCCAUCCUAUUAGUUCUAUAUGUGCAACGAAUUCAUAUCUGUUUAUCUAUUGAAAUACUAAGUGAAAAUUCAAAUUUUCUUGCAGAAUUUGCCCAUUGCAGACUCAAAGGACCAGACUGACAAUGCAAUUCCAUGCGAUACCAACAAUGAUAUUGCUGACUAUGCAACAGUUGAGGAAAAACCUGAAGAAACAGUAGUUGAAGAAAAACAUGAAGAACCUGCAAUUGAAAAGAAAUUUGAAGAAUCAACAGUUAUGGAGAAACCUGAAGAACCAGCAGUGGAAGAAAAACCUGAAGAACCAACAGUUAAAGAGGAACCUGAAAAAUCAGUGAUGGAAGAGAAACCUGAAGAACCAAUUGUUGAGGAGAAACUUGAAGAACCAACUGUUGAAGAGAAACCUGAAAAAUCACUGAUUGAAGAAACACCUGAAGAACCAAUAUGGGAAGAAACACCUAAAGAACUAGCAUUUGAAGAGAAACCAGAAGAACCAGCAGUUGAAGAGGAGAAACCUGAAAAGGUAACUCUUUUGGAAGAGGUGAGUAUCAAGCAUUAGCACAUAGUUUAUCCAUCAUGUUAUUUCUGUAUGUGCAUCGAUUCACAUCUGCUUAUCUAUUGAAAGUCUAAAUGAGACUUUAAAUUCUUCUUGCAGAAUAUACCAGCUGUAGAUUUCAACGACAAGACUGACCGUGAAAUUCCAUGCGAUACCAACAAUGAUAUUGCUGACUAUGCAACAGUUGAGGAAAAACCUGAAGAACCGGUAGUUGAAGAAAAACAUGAAGAACCUGCAAUUGAAAAGAAAUUUGAAGAAUCAACGGUUAUGGAGAAACCUGAAAAACCAGUGGUUAAGGUACAACCUGAAGAACCAGCAGUGGAAGAAAAAGUUGAAGAACCAACAGUUAAUGAGGAACCUGAAAAAUCAGCGAUGGAAGAGAACCCUGAAGAAUCAAUUGUUGAGGAGAAACUUGAAGAACCAACUGUUGAAGAGAAACCUGAAAAAUCACUGAUUGAAGAAACACCUGAAGAACCAAUAUGGAAAGAAACACCUAAAGAACUAGCAUUUGAAGAGCAACCAGAAGAACCAGCAGUUGAAGAGGAGAAACCUGAAAAGGUAUCUCUUUUGGAAGAGGUGAGUAUCAAGCAUUAUCACAUAGUUUAUCCAUCCUGUUAUUUCUGUAUGUGCGACGAUUCACAUCUGCUUAUCUAUUGAAAGACUAAAUGAGACUUUAAAUUCUUCUUGCAGAAUAUGCCAGCUGUAGAUUUCAACGACAAGACUGACUGUGAAAUUCCAUGCAAUACCAACAAUGAUGUUGCUGAAUAUGUAGCAAUUGAGGAAAACCUUGAAGAACCAGCAGUUGAAGAAAAACAUGAAGAACCAACAGUUGAGGAGAAACCUGAAGAACUAGCAGUUGAAGAGAAACCCGAAAAACCAACAAUUGAGGAGAAACAUGAAGAACCAAUAGUUGAGAAGAAACCUGAAGAACCAGUAGUUGAGGAGAAACCAGAAGAACCACUAAUUGAAGAGGAGAAAUCUGAAAGGGUAACUUUCCUAGAAAAGGUGAGGAUCAAGCAUUGUCAAAAGGUUUAUCCAUCUUAUUAGUUGUGUAUGUGCGACGAUUCACAUCUGCUUACUUAUUGAAAGACUAAGUGAAACUUCAAAAUUCUUGCAGAGUAUGCUAGUUGUAGACUCGAACGACAAGACUGACAGUGAAAUUCCAUGCAAUACCAACAAAGAUGCUGCCCACUUUCCCGAAGUUGAGGCAAACCCUGAAGAACCAGCAGUUGAAGGAAAACCUAAAGAACCCGUUGAUGAAGAGAAACCAGAUGUACCAGUGGUUGAGAAACCUGAAAAACAAAUGGUUGAGGAGAAACUUGAAGAACCAAUGAUUGAGGAGAAAUCUGACGAACUAGUCGAGGAGAAAUCUCAACAACCAGCGGCUGAAAAGAAACCUGAAGAACCAGCAGCUAAAGAAUCACUUAAAGAGCUAGCAGGGGAGGAAACAACUGAAGAACUAGCACUUGAAGAGAAACUUAGAGAACCAACAGUUGAAGAACUAGUUCUUGAAGAUAAACCUGAAAACCCAGAAAAUGAAGAGGAUAAACUUGAAACAGUAACUCUCCAGGAAAAGGUAAGAAACAAGCAGUGUCACAGAGUUUAUCCAUCCUAUUAGCUCUACAUAUGCAAUGAAUUCACAUCUGUUUAUCCACUGAAAGACUAAGUGAAACUUUAAAUUUUUCUUGCAGAAUUUACCAAUUGCAGACUCAAACGACAAGACUGACAAUGCAACUCCCUGCAAUAACAACAAUGAUAUUGCUGACUCUGCAGCAGUUAAGGAAAAAACUGAAGAACCAGUAGUUGAGGAAAAACAUGAAGAACCGGCAACUGAAGAGAAAUCUGAAGAAUCAGAAUUUAUGAAAAAAACUGAAGAACCAGCGGUUGAGGUAAAACCUGAAGAACCAUCAGUGGAAGAGAAGCCUGAAGAACCAGCGGUUAGGAAAAAUCCUGAAGAACCAGCAGUUAAUGAGGAACCUGCAAAAUCAGCAACGGAAGAGAAACCUGAAGAACCAAUUGCUGAGGAGAAACUUGAAGAACCAACUCUUAAAGAGAAACCUGGAAAACCAGUAAUUGAAGAAACACCUGAAGAACCAACACUGGAAGUAACACCUAAAGAACAAGCAGAGAAACCUGAAGAACCAGUUGAAGAGGAAAAAACUGACAAGGUAACUCUUUUGGAAAAGGUGAGCAUCAAACACUGUCACAAAUUUUUGCCAUCAUAUUAGUUCUGUAUGUGCAACAAUUCACAUCUAAUUAUCCAUUGAAAGACUAAGUGAAACUUUAAUUCUUCUUGCAGAAUAUACCAGUUGUAGAUUUCAAUGAUACGACUGACAGUGAAAUUCCAUGCAAUACCAACGACGAUGUUGCUGAAGACGUAGCAGUUGAGGAAAACCUUGAAGAACCAUCAGUUGAGGAGAAACCUGAAGAAUUAGCGGUUGAAGAGAAACCUGAAAAACCAGCAAUUGAGGAGAAACGUGAAGAACCAAUAAUUGAGAAGAAACCUAAAGAACCAGCAGUUGAGGAGAAACCUGAAGAACAAACCGUUGAAGAGAGACUUGAAGAACCAACAAUUGAAGAUGAGAAACUUGAAGAACCAACAAAUGAAGAUGAGAAACUUGAAAGGGUAACUCUCCUAGGAAAGGUGAGGAUCUAGCACUGUCACAAAGUUUGUCCAUCCUAAUAGUUUUAUACGUGCAAGACUUUCAGAUCUGCUUAUUGAAAAACUAAAUGAAACUUUAAAUUCUUCUUACAGAAUAUGCAAGUUGUAGACUCCAUCGACAAGACUGACUGUGAAAUUCCAUGCAACACCAACAAUGAUGUUGCUUACCAUCCAGCAGUUGAGGAAAAUCUAGAAAAAACAGCAAUUGUGGAAACAACUGAUGAACCAGUGGUUGAAGAGAAACCUGAUGUACCAGCGAUUAAGGAGAAACCUGAAGUACCAAAUAUUGAGCAGAAACUUGAAGAGUUAGCAGGAGAGGAAACACAUGAAGAACUAGCAGUUGAAGAGAAACUAGAAGAACCAAUUACUGAAGAGACACCUGCAGAACUAGUUAUAGAAGAGAAACCUGAAAACCCAGCAGUUGAAGAGGAGAAACCUGAAACAGACGCUCUCCAAACGAAGGUCAGGAUUAAACAUUGUCACAAAAUUUAUCCAUCCUAUUAGCUUUAUAUGUGCAAGGAACUCACAUAUGCUAAUCUAUUGAAAGACUAAGUCAAACUUUAAAUUUUUCUUGCAGAAUAUGCCAAUUGUAGACUCAAAGGACAAGAUUGACAUUGAAAGUCCAGGCAAUAUCAACAAUGAUGGUGCUGACUAUCCAGAAGUUGAAGAUAAACCUGAAGAACUAGCAGUUGAAGAAAAACAUGAAGAACAAGCAAUUGAAGAGAAGCCUGAAGAACCAGCAAUUAAGGAAAAAGCUGAUGAACCAGCAGUGCAAGAAAAACUUGAAGAACCAGCUGUGGAAAAGAAACCUGAAGAACCAGUGGCUACGGAGAAACCUGAAGAACCAGCAAUUAAGGAAAAAGCUGAUGAACCAGCAGCGCAGGAGAAACCUGAAGAACCAGCUGUGGGAAAGAAACCUGAAGAACCAGUGGCUACGGAGAAACCUAAAGAACCAGCAAUUAAGGAAAAAGCUGAUGAACCAGCAGUGCAAGAGAAACCUGAAGAACCAGCUGUGGAAAAGAUACCUGAAGAACCAGCAGUCGAGGAGAAAUUUGACGAACCAGCAGUUGGAGAGAAAUCAGAAGAACCAGUAGUUGAACAAACACCUGCAGGACCAGCAUGGGAAGAAACACCUAAAGAACUAGCAUUUGAAGAGAAACCUGAAGAACCAGCAGUUGAAGAAACACCUGAAGAACCAGCAGUUGAAGAAACACCUGAAGAACUAGCAGUUGAAAAGAACCCUGAAAAAACAGCAGUCGGAGAGAAACAUGAAAAAGUAACUCUCUUGGAAAAG